GCAAGUAGCCAUGACAAUAACAAUAAUAGUAUUAACAAUAAUAGCAAUAAAAAUAACAGUAGGAACAUAAAUAGUGCAACCGCUUCAUCUUCCUCCCUCCCCUAUUCUUCUUCUUCUUCUUCUUCUUCUUCUUCU
rnacentral:ribozyme from 12 species